UGUCAGGAGGCAUAUAUAUGAUACACAACCCCUUAUGAAGUUCUGGAUAAGUUGCCAGACAGAAUUUCCAGAGCUUACAGUAAAAGCAUUGAGGUGUCUUUUACCCUUUCCAACUACAUACCUUUGUGAGAGCGGUUUUUCUACACUGGCAUAUCUAAAGAACAAGUACAGGGCAAGGCUACAACCAGAGAAUGAUAUAAGGCUGUCAAUAUGUACCACUAUAUCACCACGAAUAGACAGACUGUGUGGAAGUCACUACUUGUUAGUCAGAAUGGUGGUCCCUGGCACAGAACCAGUUGAAAACCUCAGUCCUAGUUUAAGUGAAGGGGCAUUUUCAUGCUCCUGCAUCCACAGAAAUCCAAUACUGUAAUAUUGUCUCCAACUUUGUGCUGACAGUAGAACAGCUAUCUGACUGCGUACCUGAACAUGUACACCUGUAGGUAGGGUGCGAAGCGAUAUGGGUCAUGUACAGAUCAUGGAUCAUGCUGGAGCUUUUUCACCUGCAAAGCUGAUCAUUUGGAUCAGGAAGUCCGUCUGUCUCCCUGUCUCAGAAAAUCCUGCUGCUGAAUAAAACAGUUCACAUAUGAAGUGUAAACUAAUCAGGAUUUAUUCUCACAAAAUAUAAACUAUUUAACUGCCUUAAUUAGAUUACUGUCUUUGGGGUUCAAUUCCUACUCUUCGUUUUCUUCUAGAACAGAAAUCAAAGCAGUGAAGUUGAACAGCAGUAGAGGACAAUUUAAAGAACUAUGAACUGAUUGUAUUCCACAAAAGUACCAGUACUCUAAACCAUGUAGAGAACCACAGCUCAGUGUUUAUCAUUUUGCACCUGAGGGUUAAUGUUUCAAAACACACACACACACACACACACAGUGAAGUAUGAAACAGAAAGAUUAUUUAAACUCUAAUAAACAUCAUCAGUGACACACAGAAAAAGUGAACAAUCUCCUGAACACAUCACCUGUGCCAAGUUCAACCGAUUACAUGGUCAAAUCUGUGGUUGUGUUUGUGCUGCUGCCUUACCUAAAAAGGUCAACCUGAGACAUCACACACUCACACACACUAAAUACAUUUAAACAAACUCAGAGGAAUCACAUCCUUAUGCACUAAUAUAGCUUUUCUCUCUCUUACACACACACACACACACACACAAAAUAAUUGGACAGAAUUAUUCUGAAAGCGCAGUAUUUAUUCAUUUACAGUCUAAUAUGACACAAAGAGGUGAGGGUAAUAAAGUGAAAUGCUGAUGGAAGUGUAACUAUAAAUACAGAUAUAAACUGGUCACCCUGUUGGGUAGUGAAUUAACACGUGCACACACUGGACUCCAAUCUAUAAAACCCAACACUACAGGAGGCUCUUAUUGUGUUUGAGCUCUACUGCAGUGUUUAUUUUCACUCAAGAGUGGAAGUAUAAGGGGCAGAGGAGAAAGUCUUCAGUGAAAGGAAGUACUUUUCUAAUUCUGUCUCUCUGAAGGUGUAGGGAAACCACAGAACUUUCAGGGGACUGCAGAGUAACCCAAACUACUGUUAACCGUAUUGCUGCAGUGUGUGUGUGUGUGUGUGUGUGUGUGUGUGUGUGUGUGUGUGUGUGUGUGUGUGUGUGUGUGUGUGUG